CAAACUGAAGAUGGCGACCGGCGCACGGGUGAGUAACGCGUAUCCAACCUGCCGAUAACUCCGGAAUAGCCUUUCGAAAGAAAGAUUAAUACCGGAUAGUAUACGAAUAUCGCAUGAUAUUUUUAUUAAAGAAUUUCGGUUACCGAUGGGGAUGCGUUCCAUUAGUUUGUUGGCGGGGUAACGGCCCACCAAGACUACGAUGGAUAGGGGUUCUGAGAGGAAGGUCCCCCACAUUGGAACUGAGACACGGUCCAA
rnacentral:rRNA from 1 species